rnacentral:rRNA from 1 species
AGAUUGAACGCUGGCGGCAGGCCUAACACAUGCAAGUCGAGCGGUAGAGAGGUGCUUGCAUCUCUUGAGAGCGGCGGACGGGUGAGUAAUGCCUAGGAAUCUGCCUAGUGGUGGGGGAUAACGUUCGGAAACGGACGCUAAUACCGCAUACGUCCUACGGGAGAAAGCGGGGGACCUUCGGGCCUCGCGCCAUUAGAUGAGCCUAGGUCGGAUUAGCUAGUUGGUGAGGUAAUGGCUCACCAAGGCGACGAUCUGUAGCUGGUUUGAGAGGACGACCAGCCACACUGGGACUGAGACACGGCCCAGACUCCGUACGGGAGCAGCAGGU